GGGCGUAAAGCGUACGCAGGCGGUUGAUUAAGCGAGAUGUGAAAGCCCCGGGCUCAACCUGGGAACUGCAUUUCGAACUGGUCAACUAGAGUGUGAUAGAGGGUGGUAGAAUUUCAGGUGUAGCGGUGAAAUGCGUAGAGAUCUGAAGGAAUACCGAUGGCGAAGGCAGCCACCUGGGUCAACACUGACGCUCAUGUACGAAAGCGUGGGGAGCAAACAGGAUUAGAUAC
rnacentral:rRNA from 1 species